rnacentral:piRNA from 1 species
UAGGGCUGAGAUGGAGUGUUCCUUUCUUGAA